GACGAACGCUGGCGGCGUGCCUAAUACAUGCAAGUCGACAGCGGCGGACGGGUGAGUAUCACGUAAGGAACCUACCGAUAAGCGGGGGACAACAUCCGGAAACGGGUGCUAAUACCGCAUACUUAUCGAUGGCUUUGCGGUGCAUUAGCUCGUUGGUGGGGUAACGGCCUACCAAGGCCAUGAUGCAUCGCCGACCUGAGAGGGUAAUCGGCAACAUUGGGACUGAGACACGGCCCAGACUCCUACGUGAGGCAGCAGGAGGGAAUCUUCGGCAAUGGACGAAAGUCUGACCGAGCAACGCCGCGUGAGUGAAGAAGGUUUUCGGAUCGUAAAACUCUGUUAUUAGAGAAGCGGUAUCUAAGAAGAAAGCCACGGCUAACUACGUGCCAGCAGCCGCGGUAAUAC
rnacentral:rRNA from 1 species